UGAACGCUGGCGGCGUGCUUAACACAUGCAAGUCGAACGAACCUUCGGGUUAGUGGCGGACGGGUGAGUAACGCGUGAGAAUCUGCCCUCAGGAGGGGGAUAACAGCUGGAAACGGCUGCUAAUACCCCAUAUGCCGCGAGGUGAAAUGAAUUUCGCCUGAGGAUGAGCUCGCGUCUGAUUAGCUAGUUGGUGUAGGUAAUGGCUCACCAAGGCAUCGAUCAGUAGCUGGUCUGAGAGGAUGAUCAGCCACACUGGGACUGAGACACGGCCCAGACUCCUACGGGAGGCAGCAGUGGGGAAUUUUCCGCAAUGGGCGAAAGCCUGACGGAGCAACGCCGCGUGAGGGAUGAAGGCCUCUGGGCUGUAAACCUCUUUUAUCAAGGAAGAAGAUCUGACGGUACUUGAUGAAUAAGCCACGGCUAAUUCCGUGCC
rnacentral:rRNA from 1 species